rnacentral:rRNA from 1 species
GACGAACGCUGGCGGCGUGCUUAGCACAUGCAAGUGGAGCGACGAACCAGGCUUCGGCCUGGGGCAAAGCCGCGAACGGGUGAGUAACACGUGGGUAACCUGCCCCGAUGACCGGGACAACCCGAGGAAACGUCGGGCUAAUACCGGAUGUGGUCCCUUCACAUCAGUGAAGGUGACUAAAGGUAGCUUCGGCCUCCGCAUCGGGA